rnacentral:rRNA from 1 species
AUUGAACGCUGGCGGCAUGCCUUACACAUGCAAGUCGAACGGCAGCACGGGAGCAAUCCUGGUGGCGAGUGGCGAACGGGUGAGUAAUAUAUCGGAACGUGCCCAGUCGUGGGAUAACGUAGCGAAAGCUACGCUAAUACCGCAUACGAUCUAUGGAUGAAAGCGGGGGAUCGCAAGACCUCGCGCGAUUGGAGCGGCCGAUAUCAGAUUAGGUAGUUGGUGAGGUAAAGGCUCACCAAGCCGACGAUCUGUAGCUGGUCUGAGAGGACGACCAGCCACACUGGGACUGAGACACGGCCCAGACUCCUACGGGAGGCAGCAGUGGGGAAUUUUUGGGACAAUGGGCGCAAGCCUGAUCCAGCAAUGCCGCGUGCAGGAUGAAGGCCUUC